rnacentral:rRNA from 1 species
UGGCGGACGGGUGAGUAACACGUAGGUAACCUACCCUUAAGCUGGGGACAACUCAGGGAAACUUGAGCUAAUACCCGAUAAGACUACGGGCUGGGAGGCUUGUAGUAAAAGGAGCGAUUCACUUAAGGAAGGGCCUGCGGCCUAUCAGGUAGUUGGUGGGGUAAGGGCCCACCAAGCCAGAGACGGGUAGCCGGGCUGAGAGGUCGAACGGCCACACUGGAACUGAGACACGGUCCAGACUCCUACGGGAGGCAGCAGUGGGGAAUAUUGCGCAAUGGGGGAAACCCUGACGCAGCGACGCCGCGUGGAGGAUGAAGGUCUUCGGGUUGUAAACUCCUUUUCUUGGGAAAGAUAAUGACGGUACCCAAGGAAUAAGCCACGGCUAACUCUGUGCCAGCAGCCGCGGUAAGACAGAGGUGGCGAGCGUUGUUCGGAAUUACUGGGCUUAAAGGGCGAGUAGGCGGUGGAGCAAGUCUGAGGUGGAAUCUUAGGGCUUAACCCUAAAACUGCCUUAGAAACUGUUUUACUUGAGUCAGUGAGGGGAGGGCGGAAUUCCUGGUGUAGCGGUGAAAUGCGUAGAUAUCAGGAGGAAGGCCUGUGGCGAAGGCGGCCCUCUGGCACUGUACUGACGCUGAGGCGCGAAAGCGUGGGUAGCAAACAGGAUUAGAUACCCUGGUAGUCCACGCCCUAAACGGUGGGCAUUAGGUGUAGGGCUCGUAAGGGUUCUGUGCCGAAAGGGAAACCAUUAAAUGCCCCGCCUGGGGAGUACGGCCGCAAGGUUGAAACUCAAGGAAUUGACGGGGGCCCGCACAAGCGGUGGAGCAUGUGGUUUAAUUCG